AGACUGCCCAUCCUCUUCUUAAGUAAGAGUUGUUUAGAGAAUUGUCAAACAGACCACAGUGUCUCAUCAGAUCUUCAUGGAAGUCCAGUAGCUGCUCCCGGAUGUAUUCUGGACAGGGACAGUCCUGCUUGUCAUCCUUGAAGUUCAGCAGCAUGUUGAUCUAGAAGAAUAAUAUGGAGUGAGCGCAGCAGACAUGUUGAGAGCCAGCAUCACCUCAUUGUAGCGAAAGCGCUGGUUGUCUUGGAGGCAAGCCACAAAGUCAUCGGAGAAGGCCACCACCGCCUCGAUACGAUGGCGCACCUGGCAGUCACACAGCUCCAGGAUAUCCACCGAUCUGGGAUGCAAACAGAGACCAAAUUAAUAAGAACUGACAGACUGGGAGCAUGGACAUCCGAGGGUGUUUAAAUAUGGACUCUCCACCUGUUCUCUUCAGCUGUGAAAGUGAGCAGACCAUUUGAUGUGUCGACCAGACAGCCGAUCUCCAGGCCGUUGUUGUUCCUGCUCUGUGUUGGGCUGCUGUUCUCUCCGGCCCACACCAUGUAACAGUUACUGCGCUUAAUGCUGUGAGACAUUUAUCAGGAGAAGGAGUUUUAGAUGAGCAUCAGGGUGACUGUGACAGUCCGGACCUUGCUCAGCUCAAAGCUGGGGUCAUACUGAUGGAAGUCAGAGGUUACCCAGCCGACCCACACGCUGCUGGGCUCCUGACCCGGGAAGAUCCGCACUGAGUAGUAGUACUGC